rnacentral:rRNA from 1 species
CCCUUAGAUGUCCGGGGCUGCACGCGCGCUACACUGAAGGAAUCAGCGUGCUAAAACCAUUGUCGAAAGGCAUUGGUAAACCCAUUAAAAUCCUACGUGAUUGGGAUCGGGAAUUGCAAUUAUUUCCCUUGAACGAGGAAUUCCCAGUAAGUGUGGGUCAUAAGCUCGCGUUGAUUACGUCCCUGCCCUUUGUACACACCGCCCGUCGCUGCCCGGGACUGAGCCGUUUCGAGAAAAGCGGGGACUGCUGCUGUCGGGGCUUUCGGGCCUUGGCUUCGGUGGAAACCGCUUUAAUCGCAGUGGCUUGAGCCGGGCAAAAGUCGUANCA